rnacentral:rRNA from 1 species
AACGAACGCUGGCGGCAUGCCUAACACAUGCAAGUCGAACGAGACCUUCGGGUCUGGUCUCGCACGGGGUCGUAACGCGUGGGAACCUGCCCUUAGGUUCGGAAUAACUCCCCGGAAGGGUUGCUAAUACCGGAUAAUAUCUUCGGUCCGAAGAGUUGUCGACUUUGGGUGGUCCGGCGUGGGAUUAGCUAGUUGGUAGGGUAAAAGCCUACCAAGGCGAGGAGCCCUAGCUGGUUUGAGAGGAUGAGCCGCCACACUGGGACUGAGACACGGCCCGGAAUCCUACGGGAGGCAGGAGUGGGGAAUCUUGGACAAUGGGCGAAGGCAUGAUGCCGCACUGCCGGGUGAGUGAUGAAGGCCUUAGGGUUGUAAAGCUCUUUUAUACGGGAUGAUAAUGACAGUACCGGGAGAAUAAGCACCGGCUAACUACGUG